rnacentral:rRNA from 1 species
UACGAAGGGGGCUAGCGUUGCUCGGAAUCACUGGGCGUAAAGGGUGCGUAGGCGGGUCUUUAAGUCAUGGGUGAAAUCCUGGAGCUCAACUCCAGAACUGCCUUUGAUACUGAGGAUCUUGAGUUCGGGAGAGGUGAGUGGAACUGCGAGUGUAGAGGUGAAAUUCGUAGAUAUUCGCAAGAACACCAGUGGCGAAAGCGGCUCACUGGCCCGAUACUGACGCUGAGGCACGAAAGCGUGGGGAGCAAACAGG